rnacentral:rRNA from 1 species
ACGUGAAACCGUUCGGGGGUAAACGAACGAGACCCGAUGAACGCGUCGGCGAGGACUCAGUUUCGUGUCGGACCCGCGGACCCGCGACGGUCGUUGUUUCCGUUGGUCGCGCGGCCGGCGUCUCCGCUCUCGGGCGGGGCGUCGGUUUUCGCGCGCGCCACGGCGGCCGUCCGGGCUCAGUCCGCCCGGCCGAACCGAUUUUCCUCGCCGCAGUGGAACGUCGCGACUCGCUGGGAAGCGGUCGACGCGGUCCGAGUGGAGCUCGGCGCUGACGAGUCCCCGGGAGGGGAGUGCUCCGAGUGGCGCCGAACCUCGGACUCGCUGGCCGGAGUCCCGGCGGUAGUUUCGAACGCACGCGGUUUGGAUACGCUUCUCCUCGUGUGGGGCGCGCCGAGUCGGCGGACGGUAUCUUUCUCGCGUCGGUGCGUGUUGACGCGGCCCUUGCUGGCCGUCUUCCGUGCCGGGUGACGGGGGCCGUUCGUCGGCGUCCGAUGGCGCCGUAUCCCGAACCAGUCGGCGACGACAACCCGAGUCGAGCUCUCGUUCGACCCGUCUUGUAACACGGACCAAGGAGUCUAACGUGUGUGCGAGUCGUUGGGUUCCGCGCCGGCGCCCCUAGUGACGUCGGCGCGACCGCAGACGAAACCCGUUGAGGCGAAAAGAAAUUGAAAACGAGUCCAGCACUCGUCGAGGGAAGAUGGCGACGGAUCCGGCCCCCCGUCACGGGGGGUUCCCCGAGCAGAUCGGCCCGCAUUCCCGGGGUGCCUCAUCCGCCGGUCGGCCGUCAAAACGCCGGCCGACGAGAGGUGCGCCCAGAGCACACACGCUAGGACCCGAAAGAUGGUGAACUAUGCCUGGCCAGGACGAAGUCAGGGGAAACCCUGAUGGAGGUCCGAAACGAUUCUGACGUGCAAAUCGAUCGUCUGAGCUGGGUAUAGGGGCGAAAGACUAAUCGAACUAUCUAGUAGCUGGUUCCCUCCGAAGUUUCCCUCAGGAUAGCUGGCGCUCGGAGGUGGUACGAACGAACUCAACUGAGUCUCUUCCGGUAAAGCGAAUGAUUAGAGGCCUUGGGGCCGAAACGACCUCAACCUAUUCUCAAACUUUAAAUGGGUGAGAACCCCGGCUUGCUCGAGAUGUUUGAAGCCGCGGGCCUUGGAUCACUUGAGUGCCAAGUGGGCCAAUUUUGGUAAGCAGAACUGGCGCUGUGGGAUGAACCAAACGCCGAGCUACGGCGACUAAAUCGACGCUCAUUGGAGACCAGAAAAGGCGUUGGUUGCUACCGACAGCAGGGCGGUGGCCAUGGAAGUCGGACAUCCGCUAAGGAGUGUGUAACAACUCACCUGCCGAAGCAACUAGCCCUGAAAAUGGAUGCCGCUGAAGCGUCGUGCCUAUGCUCGGCCGUCAGUGGCAGAGUGGGCUGUCCGGUACGCGUACCGGCCCGGCAGACCCGGUAAGCCCUGACGAGUAGGAGGGCGCAGUGGUGUGCGCAGAAGGGACCGAGCCGUAAGGCCGCCUGGAGCCGCCACUGGUGCAGAUCUUGGUGGUAGUAGCAAAUACUCGAGUGAGAGCCCUGGAGGGCUGAUGUGGAGAAGGGUUCCUUGUGAACAGCCGUUGCACAAGGCUCAGUCGAUCCUAAGUCCUCGCCAAACAGCGAUGCUAUAAGCAGUGGUUCGUGUUGAUUUUGUGUUGAUUGUGUUUUCGCAAAAGCAUAACAACAACGAAAAUUGUAACCGCCACGGACGAAAGGGGACGCGGUCCCCAUUCCGCUACCUGGACGCGGAACCGCUCUCAUGUUUCGUGGCCCUCGUCCGACGUGUCGCCGCUUCAACGCGCGCGCACGCUCGGCGUAGGCCUCGUCGGGGUAACCCGAAAAGACCCGGAGAAGCUGAGGGGAGCUCCGGGGAGAGUUAUCUUUUCUGUAUCAGCGUUGUAGCUGCCUGGAAUCCUCUAGCAGGGAGAUAGGGAGCCGAACGCGGAGAGCACCGCAGUUGCUGCGGUGUCCGGAGCCUCCCCCUCGGACCGUGAAAAUCCGGGAGAGGGCCACGCGAAGUCUCGCGCCAGGUCGUACUCAUAUCCGCAUCAGGUCUCCGAGGUGAAGAGCCUCUAGUCGUAUAGACUAAUGUAGGUAAGGGAAGUCGGCAAAAUCGAUCCGUAACUUCGGAAUAAGGAUUGGCUCUGAGGAACGUGGUCCGUCGGGCUUGGUCGGGAAGCGGGUUAGCGCCUACGAGCCGGGCCUGUGCGAGGUGAAGUCCGGUUGCCGCGCGGCUUUCGUGCGCGCGCGCGCCCGGGCGCCUUCGGGUGUCCGGUGUGCGUGUCGUGCGGAGUCGCCGGUCGGUUUCGGAUCCGAGCACGGUCCCGUGCCUAGGCACCCCGCGGAGCUUCCUCGCUGCGAGACCCCGGGUUCUGUUGGGCGCGGGGUUCACGCCCCGCGUUCGCACCGGGCGCUUCUCUUCGGCGGCCAUGUAACGGUCAGCUCAGAACUGGCACGGACAAGGGGAAUCCGACUGUCUAAUUAAAACAAAGCAUUGCGAUGGCCCCAAAGGGUGCCUGACGCAAUGUGAUUUCUGCCCAGUGCUCUGAAUGUCAACGUGAAGAAAUUCAAGCAAGCGCGGGUAAACGGCAGGAGUAACUAUGACUCUUUUAAGGUAGCCAAAUGCCUCGUCAUCUAAUUAGUGACGCGCAUGAAUGGAA